GAUGAAGAACGUAGCGAAAUGCGAUACUUGGUGUGAAUUGCAGAAUCCCGUGAACCAUCGAGUCUUUGAACGCAAGUUGCGCCUCAAGCCAUUAGGUUGAGGGCACGUCUGCCUGGGCGUCACAUAUCGUUGCCUGAUGCCAGUUUCCUCGUGAUGGGUGACUGUGCAGGGCGAAUGAUGGCUUCCCGUGAGCAUUGUUGCCUCAUGGUUGGUUGAAAAUUGAGUCCUUGGUAGGGAGCGCCGUGAUAGAUGGUGGUUGAGUGACGAACGAGACCCAAUCAUGUGAGACCCCUACCGAAUUUGGCCUUCAUGACCCACAUGCGUCUUUGGAACGCUCAUGACGAGACCUCAGGUCAGGCGGGGCUACCCGCUGAGUUCAAGCAUAUCAUAAGCGGAGGA
rnacentral:misc_RNA from 1 species